AUGAAGGUUAUGGAGCUCAGCUGUUCUGCUGACACCCCCACCCAGGGUAUAUAUACCCCUCCAGUCCCAUUGGCAGAGUUUUGUGUCUCUUGCUGGCUGUGGUGGGUGCUGGAAAUCCUGAUUUGUCCUUCACCAGCUUACCAAGGAGGUUUCCUUGGGUUUAUAAAUGACUGCAUUUCCCUUCAGCAUGACAGCUGCAGCUUCACCUCUUCUCGUGUGAACCUGGAGUCAGAUGAUCCAGGAGGCUGUGCAAAAAUAACUUGGAAUAAUCUUGAAAUCCAUGCAGGGCCAAGCCAGAGAAAAGAAGCCAACACCUUUGGGCAAAGAAAACAACAAAAUCUAAGGAGAAGAGCCAGGAAGAAGGGAGGGAAGAGAUGUUCAUGGAAAAAUCUACCUCUAAAAGUCCUAUGCUAUCCAGCAAUAGUUUUUUUCUUGAAAAAUCUGCAUGUAAAACCAAUGCAGUGUUUUACAUAUUUAUUCAGUUUUUCUCACUGA
rnacentral:lncRNA from 1 species